UUACCUGGACAGCUGCCCUGAAGGGGCGUGGCCAAAGCGUAACCGCAGAUUCACUUGUUUUGGUUUCAAUGAAACAUUUUGUUUUUGUUCUGGUUCUCCGGAUUCUAUUCUUCCGGUUAUCAAAGUGGAUCCCAGUUUCGGUUCAACCGGAAGAUUUGAAUCGCCAACAUUUCAGCCUCGUUCCCUUUUAGCGCGCGCGGCAGCCCAGGUGAACUCACCUGCUGUGGGGGGCGGGAGGAUCAUCCUGAUGAUUCAGUCAGAAAACCGCAGAUAAAAACUCUGACGGGAUUUUUAUAAAGUUAGAUUUAAACCGAACAGCAGCGCCGCUUCUCCGGGCUCUUAAAUAUGACGUCAUGCUACGAACAAAGUAUGCGCAGACGGUGCUGCCUUCACUGACCAGGAAAAGGUGGUAUUUUUUUUUUAUUUCCCGGCGAUGCUAGUUCUUCUGUCCGGUUUUCUCACAUUUAACCGGAACCGGGAAGUAAACAAUGAACCGAUAAAUGAUUCUCUCCGCCUCUGUCGCUUCUUAACUGAAUUGUCGCUUUUAAGGACAAAAAUAUGAGCUCGGAAACAACAGCGACUCUCAUCCAAGCCUCGCGGAAUGAUAAUGUCGACGUUCGUACCUGCAAAGGUGACAUUUUACCUGCGGAGGCUCCAGAUGAUCAUCGACCCGGCAGGUUCGGACGGAUCAUCCGCUCCGGAGACGCUCGGCACGCGCUGUUCUCACGAACAUUUUCAGAUGUUCUAAGCUCACAGACGGAGUUCAGGCGGAUACUGACGUAACUUCCGGUGUUCUAAAGCAGCAAUUCUGAAAACCCGAGAAAAUUGGUGCAAAUGUUAUAAUAAAUGUACUUUUGUGGCUGGA